GUGAGGGGUAAAUGAACUGGAUGGGAGCGGAGGAGCUGCCAAGCACAAGGGUCCUGCUUUUACAAUGGAAGGUGCUCCAGAAGCCACGUGAUCUAGCUAGACGCAAAGGGGUCCUUGCAUUACAAAUGGAAACACUCAGACAUCCUGAGCAAUAUUUUGAAAGAGGGAUCAUGGGGAUGAGGCAGAAUUUUUGAUGAGAAAAGGGGUGGGAGGAGGAAGAACUUCAGGGUUGCUGCAAAUGUGCAGUGUCUGCACUCAACGGCAAAUGAAACUGACCGUAGACUAUGAAGACCAAGCAGUGGGUGCUCCUGUGAAUAUCUGGAAAUCUUCUCACGGUGGGAUCGCUGAGUUCUUCCACAAUUUUGCUUGGUGAGCACAUGCUCACUGAUUAGUCUUUAUGUUCUACUUCAACAGAACUUAAAGAUUCACCUGUGUCUUCCAGGGGAGGUGGCUUGUCACCUGGUGAUUCCCUUUUCAGCACGUUGACACACAAAGCAAAAGAUAGCUUUUAAAGACGCCAUCACCCCCAAGUUAAUGAAGAUUAUUAUGUCUGAUUGUAUGGACAAGAAUUAUCACCAUUAUCAUGUCUGAACAUGUGGACAAUUGUUUUCGUCUUGGUGCAAGAUCUGCUUGAAGAGCGCGUUCUCCUUGGGCGGGAGGCUCACGGCCCGCAUCAUUCCGGCUCCUCCGCUGGUCCCGCCACCACCUGGUUCGGACAGUCUGUUUGUCCGACCGCCGCCACUGCCGUCCCGGGCUCCUUCAGCCUUGAAUACCCCGAUCUACCGCCACCACCACGCCUCAUGUGUCACCAUGUCGCCUUUCCCGGACACCCCCUUCUCCUUCUUGUCUUUUUUCCUUUCUCAACGCUGCCGCCCCCCACGAGUCUCUGUCGGCGGUUCACGUGGCAACUGAACAGUCAUAGCUUCUAUUUCUUAUCCUGCUGUUAUCUGUUGGUGGGUUUGGGCAAGGUGCUGAACAUCUAACCUCUAUUCUUUAUCACUAUUUGGGAACAGUUGGGGAACUCCACUGCAACGGAUAAUCCCUGGGAACUCUGUGGAUCUGUAAAUACAGGUUAGAGGCAAGAGAAACCAGUAGGAGGUGCUGAGCAGAACCAGGCUGAGGGUGCUGGCUCUGAGCUCUGCUCUGAAAGACCUGUCACUUGGGCAGGUCGCUGAGAGCUCUGUACACUCAUAUUUUCCUGUCUGUCCUGGCUUCAAAGUCUCAGUAAGCUACUUGCUUCCAAGACACGUAAGACUCCCUAAAAAGAGGACCCACAAAAGUACCUUCGUCAACUGGCACUUUUCAAACUUUGUAUGUUCUCACUGCCUUCAGUGUGCAACUGAGUUGACCGACGUCAGUUGUGUUACUGCACAUUCAACUCUUAGGCAGGAGAAGACUGAAGAAGGUCCGCCAGGUAAAAACUAAAGGAAAGCAGAAGUUUUAUAAACAUUGCUUUCUGGAUACCUGGAUGUGUGACAUAGACUGAAAUAUCAUGGGAGGAAAAAGCAAUGAGUGGCCCAAAGCUGUAUCUACAGAGAGGAACUUAGAAUUUACUCUGAUCAUUUUAUUUUAGAUGGAUAAACUAUAUUUUCAAAGUUCAAAAUGGAAUUUUUAAGAAAAUUGACGAAGUAGCCCAAUGCAAAUUCCAUUUUUUCUGGAUGUCUCUUCAGUGCUAAAUUGUGCCCUAAAGUCUUGGUUUACCCAUCUUGUAAAAAAAAAAAAAUCUGAGUCCUCUUUCCAGUGAUUUCUCUUAGGAAUAAGAGGGGAGAAGGAUCUAUUAUGAGUAAUUGGAGAACUGAAAGCAAAAUGAUUUUAAAAUAUGAAAGGAGCUACUGAUAACAUUUUGGAUCAUUCUUAUCAACUAUUCAUAGGACAUAAAUUAUAAAUAUAUAUCAUGGAAAGUAGUGUAUAUCAGAACAUAAAUGCACAGCAUAUAUUGUCAAUAUGCUUUUUUUU
rnacentral:lncRNA from 1 species